CACAAGGCUUAAAUGUCAUAUCAUUUUCCAAGCAACAUUACAUCAAUAUUUACUGAUGUCAUCCAUUUACUAGGCUUGUUCUACCAGCAUUCUUACUUUCUGGCUAUCUAGAAUGAUGCAUUUAAGCACAGUUUAAAGUUCUCCAGGAUUUUUAGACAUCCACAGUUCCUUCUGCACCAUUCACAAUUCCUUCCAGUUAUAAUAAGUAGAUUUGCAUUGUCAUUCAUUAGCUCUAUUGUCAUUUACCUGCUAAUUGAACCCUUUGCCAAGUGGGAAUAAUCUGAUAUAUAAGACAUAAAAUACUAAAUGUUCAGAAAGACAAUAGGAUAAAAUAUAUUUUGUCUCAGUAAUGAAACUGCAAUUAGGCAUGUUACCAUUCCAUCCCUAUUCAUAAUAAGGGCAUAUAACUACAAGCAAUCUGGGAAAUAUACAAACUUUAAUUUCCAGGCAAGUGUUAUCUGUCAGACAUUUUUAAGGAUAAAUGCAGGAAACAGAGAGACAUUUUGUAAGUAUACAACUUGGGUCAUUACUGUGCCCUUCCACCUCUUUCAUGUUUGCUUCCAGAAUUAGGUUUUUAGAGGAAAAAAAAGUAUCCUUGUUUUUAGGGUAGAGAUUCAAUCCUAGCUAUUGUUUUAAUAUGCUUUUGAGGUACUUAGAGGAAAGCCAGUUUAUAAAUGCUAACUAUUCUUAUUUGUUUUCUUUGUUACUGUAAUAUUUUCCCAUCCCUUUAGAAAACCAGCCACCUUUCCCCUCUGAAACAAAAGCUUCCAUAUUAAAUGUAUCUAUUCUGUGCUUAAAAAGCAUCUAUCUAACAUUUGGGGAAGAAAAGAAUAGAAAUGUCACAGCAUAAAAUACAAUCACUUCUUUGUGGAAAUUUCUGUCAUAUUUUAUCUGCAUCCUACAUCUACAUAUGAAUAGAUAAGUAUUCAUCGUGAAACCAUUAGGCCUUCACAGGAUGAAAGGAAAUAUAAAGAGUUUGAAAAAUGAAUACAAAUACACAUGCAAUAUGUGCGCUUUUCCCAGCAUAAUGUACGGUAUUUUUCUGCUCUGCAUUAUACCAAAAUGUGAGCACAUUAAGGGCUUAAAGAAUUGGAAGUGUUCAAAAAUAUUCUGAUUGGAACCAGAACUAGACCAGAAAUAUGAGCAGCCUUUGAGCUACUGUACUUUAACUCCACCCAAACACAAUGAGGCCUUUGUGAGAUCAUUUGAAGUGCACAUAUAAAUCCCUGCUUGCCCAUGGCCAUCCUAAGAAGCCAGAAUUAUAGAUUCCCUAUCUGCUUUUCAUCUCACCCAAUUCAUCAGACCAAUUCUUUUGCCCUCUCUUAAAGAAAUAAAAUAAUAUUUUUGUUAUCCCAAAUCUUCAGAGCAUGAUUUAACAAGCGUCUCCCCUCCUGUAAUCUGUGUCUCCAUUGUCAUACUAUAGCUGCUGUGCAGAAGUGGCUCUAUCAAAAUAUCAGCACCCCAUUUUACCUAAAAAAACUGACAUCAGUCUUAUCUUGUUCUGAACUCUAAACAAAAUGUGUCCUGCCUUACAAAAAAAUUUAGAUCAGUUCUUCUUUUAGAAAGACCUUUUUAAAGUAUUCAUCUUGGUGAUAGGUGUAGAGAAUUCAGGUGGAUAAGAAUCCCACCCUUUAAUUGCUGUAACAUUUGUGCCCAUUUCUCUGGUCAAAUGCUCACAGUUCAACUAAUCUGGAACGGAAAUAAACAGCAGUUUAUUUUACGUCAGCGAUUUUAUUUCUCAUAUUUGAAUAUGGAAUACAUAUUAAACAAUCUACCACCUACUAGAAAAAAAUAAUUCUCAGACAGUCGCCCACAACAUCUUCAAUAUGUCAGGAAUGUGAGGAUUAUCCUCUAAAAUAUACUGCCAUGUAUAUGAAACCAAGAUUCACUGUGACCUUUUUACAGCUAAAAGUUUGAACUACCUACAGUAAUGUGUCAUCUGAUCUUACAAAAUAAUACAAGGCAGUGGUAAUUACUGGUGCUUGUGUAAAGAUUUUUAAAUUAUUCCUUCAUAAUAUUAAAAAAAAAAAAAAAACAAAAAA
rnacentral:lncRNA from 1 species